rnacentral:ncRNA from 2 species
UCGCAUUCUCAGGGCGAGGUGAAAUUCCUCACCGGUGGUGAAGCUGCGGCUGACGCAGACAAGUCCACGAGCGCCCUACCUGUGGCCAGAAGGGUCAUCAGGUAGGGGACAAGCAGAUUUCGGUUGGAAUCCGAAACCGACGGUCAUAGUCCGGAUGAAAGAGAAGGAGU